AGUCGUCGCGGACAGUAACUAGUCGCUAGGGUGACGCGGACCUAGAUUUAUUCCGAGCCUCGAGUUAACUAUUCCUUUUUUUCCGGAAUAUUAUAGAGACGAAUAUUUCGAUCUUAUAUUUUUCUUCAUUCUUUUUUCGUUUAUUUAUUUUCUCUAUCUAUGAAAUUUUAUGCAACUAAAUAACAUCGUGGAUAUUGAACACUCGAAACUCGUCGUUAAGAGUGUUAAUUGCUUCUACUCUGUUUCUCAUUAUCACGAACAUUUCGUGUUAUUGGCAUCGUUAUUGGUGUCUUAUGAAAUUCAUUUAAAGUUGAAAAUAAAUAAAUCAUUUGUAAGUAAAUAAUUAAGUAAGUAAAUAAUUAAAUAAUUUAUGCAACGGCGAAGAUCAAUUUCAUUGGAUAUAACUUAUCGGCCAAUAACCGAGCGGUUCCUUCGGAUCAUUUGUCCAACGAACUUUCAAAGAAAAGAAAAAUAUAUAUAUAUAUAAAUAUAUCUACAAAAACUUAACUCACCUAAAACUAUUUCGCCGGUAUGAAGAAAUUCAUCAAAUUCUUCAAAUGUUAAUUUGCAUGAAACGCACUGAACAAUAUCAAUGACACGAUAUCGUAUAAAACAAGUGAAAAUAUACGAAAAGAAUGAUAGAGAAAGAGAAAAAGAAAAGAUAAA